rnacentral:rRNA from 1 species
GCCUACGGGAGGCAGCAGUGAGGAAUAUUGGUCAAUGGGCGCGAGCCUGAACCAGCCAAGUCGCGUGAGGGAAGACGGUCCUAUGGAUUGUAAACCUCUUUUGUCGGGGAGCAAAAGACGCCACGCGUGGCGUUCCGAGAGUACCCGAAGAAAAAGCAUCGGCUAACUCCGUGCCAGCAGCCGCGGUAAUACGGAGGGUGCGAGCGUUAAUCGGAAUUACUGGGCGUAAAGGGUGUGCAGGCGGCUGAGUAAGACAGAUGUGAAAUCCCCGGGCUUAACCUGGGAACCGCAUAUGUGACUGCUUG